CAGUCCCGCGGGAAUACGUAGGUCCCGAGCGUUGUCCGGAUUUAUUGGGCGUAAAGGGAGCGCAGGCGGUUUAGUAAGUCUGAAGUUAAAGGCAUUGGCUCAACCAAUGUAUGCUUUGGAAACUGUUAGACUUGAGUGCAGAAGGGGAGAGUGGAAUUCCAUGUGUAGCGGUGAAAUGCGUAGAUAUAUGGAGGAACACCGGUGGCGAAAGCGGCUCUCUGGUCUGUCACUGACGCUGAGGCGCGAAAGCGUGGGGAGCAAACAGGAUUAGAUACCCGGGUAGUCCCUGUCUCUUAUACAA
rnacentral:rRNA from 1 species